GGGCUUGUGGUUUAGUGGUAUAAUACUCCCUUAGCAUCUGCUUCUUCUUUCCAGAAGCCUGUGAAAAUUGGGAGUGGUCCGGGGUUCGAUUCCCCGCGAGUCCA